CAUUACGUUCGAUCACCGAAGUUAAGCAAUGUAGAGCUUGGUUAGUACCUAGGUGGGUGACAGCUUGGGAAUACCAGCUGAUGUA